AGGAAACAUACCAGCCUAGAACAUCCAGAGAGACCGAUGUUCCCGUGCAUAGCACAAAUCUCCAGCAGGUAGAAAGGAUUUGUUUCUUGACCAUGCAAAGUCUGAGUCAGACUGCCAGGUCUCCUAGGCUGCUGCCCUCCAUACGGUGACUCAGCAAUUCAGCCUGCGUCUAUCUCAACACAAGGCUUCCAGAAUCUCCACCGUGGCACAGAAUGAGAGCUGGGGAGUCCUGCAAGGGCUCUUCAUGGCCUCAGCCUGGAAGUGAUUCUCCUCACUCACACUCAGAGCACAUUGGCCAGAAUGAGUCCCAGGCCCUCAUCUAACUGCAAGGGGGCUGGGAAAAGCAGUUUUCUUGGGUAACUGGGAAGGAAAGGCGAGUACACAUGGAUGAGCGCUAGAAGUCUCUACCAUAGCAGCUGGACAAACAACGGUGGAGGAGCAUUCCAGGCAGAAGGAACGGAAAAGGUGAAGACUAAACACAUGAGGCCAGGCGCGGUGGCCCACGCCUUAAUCCCAGCACUUUGGGAGGCCAAGGCGAGCAGAUCACCUGAAGUCAGGGUGAGACCAGCCUGGCCAGCAUGGCGAAACCCUGUCUCUACUAAAAAUACAAAAAUUGGCUGGGCAUGCUGGUGUGUGCACCUGUAAU
rnacentral:lncRNA from 1 species